UAGCCCACAGACCAAAUAUGAGAAGUGAUGUUUUGAAAGCUUCUUAUUGAGUCUAAUACUAUCCUUUUGAAAUUCUUGGUCCUCAGAUCUGAUACCAUAACCAGCAUCUACAUGCUCAUGCUGCAAACUAUCACAUAGGUCCUAUUUCAGGUUCAUUUACUUUCUCAAAUAAGUAACUUUGUCUAAUGUUCCCCGAACGAGUAGUUAAAACAACCACCCCCUGAUCCGAAAGGAAUGGGUGUUCCUGAGGCUUAUUCAAAGGGGUGCCAGCGCUACUACUUGAUUGAGUGCCAGCACGUAGCUGUGCUUUCAGCAAGAAUUUCACCAUUGGGAGCCGGUGCCUUUCGAAGCACUUUCACGUGUGAACCGAAGUCGUCUUGCCCAAGACCCACGGAGACCUACCUAUAGUGACGUCAAAGUACCAGUGAGCAUGGAGGUUUGGUUGAAAUUGGUUACGACGACGUCGAGUUGGCGGCGGAGGAAGACUCGGCAUGAAGGCCAGCCGCCCGGUGGUGUGGUACGUAGUGGUAAUAGUACGCGCCCCGCUCCGAAACAAAGAAAAAGGUGCGUGCCGCNNNN
rnacentral:lncRNA from 1 species